GAUGAACGCUGGCGGCGUGCUUAACACAUGCAAGUCGAACGAUGAAGCCCAGCUUGCUGGGUGUAUUAGUGGCGAACGGGUGAGUAACACGUGAGUAACCUGCCCUUAACUCUGUGAUAAGCCUGGGAAACUGGGUCUAAUACCGGAUAUGAGCGUCCACCGCAUGGUGGGUGUUGGAAAGAUUUAUCGGUUUUGGAUGGACUCGCGGCCUAUCAGCUUGUUGGUGUGGUAUUGGCUCACCAAGGCGACGACGGGUAGCCGGCCUGAGAGGGUGACCGGCCACACUGGGACUGAGACACGGCCCAGACUCCUACGGGAGGCAGCAGUGGGGAAUAUUGCACAAUGGGCGGAAGCCUGAUGCAGCGACGCCGCGUGAGGGAUGACGGCCUUCGGGUUGUAAACCUCUUUCAGUAGGGAAGAAGCGAAAGUGACGGUACCUGCAGAAGAAGCACCGGCUAACUACGUG
rnacentral:rRNA from 1 species